CCCAGACGUUUGACAUGACUCUAGACAGCCGAUGCCAAAUUAAUGGGAUUGUGCCUGGACUUAGAGUGUUUUCUGGGUUAAGGCUUCCUCUAGAGGGCAAGGUAGAAAUGAGGUACCUUCACGAGUAUGGCGGGAUAACAGCAGGCAUGAGUUUGGCAACGG